AUGUCGAUCUGCGCGAGGAUGGACGCGCCGGGCGGCGGCGCGCUCGGGAAGCGGAAGGAGCGGGAAUACUCGUCUUCGUCGGAGCAGCGGCCGCCGCUGUUCCCGCCGCCGCCGCCCGUGAGACAGGAGCUGCUGAGGAACAAGCCGCACCAACUGUCGCGGUUCGCCAACAAGCCCCCCAUGCCGACGCCUCCUCCCCAGGGCGGGAGCAGCAAGCUGCUGGCCGGGUACCUGGCGCACGAGUUCCUCAAGUUCGGCACGCUCCUCGGGGAGCGGCCCCCCGCGCCGGGCCGGAAGGAGACCGCCACGCCCACGCCCGCACCAACACCCGACCCCGCGAGGAGGUACGCCGAGGCGUCGAUGCUGCUCAUGGCGGGCGGCACCCGCAUCCCCGGGGUUUUCAACCCGACGCAGCUCGGCUGCUGGCUCCGGAUUAAGGAUUGA
rnacentral:rRNA from 1 species